UACAGAGGUCUCAAGCGUUUGUUCGGAUUCAUUGGGCGUAAAGGGUGCGUAGGUGGCGCCGUAAGUCGGGUGUGAAAUUUCGGAGCUUAACUCCGAAACUGCAUUCGAUACUGCGGUGCUUGAGGACUGGAGAGGAGACUGGAAUUCAUGGUGUAGCAGUGAAAUGCGUAGAGAUCAUGAGGAAGACCAGUGGCGAAGGCGGGUCUCUGGACAGUUCCUGACGCUGAGGCACGAAGGUCAGGGGAGCAAACGGG
rnacentral:rRNA from 1 species